rnacentral:rRNA from 1 species
UACGUAGGGACCGAGCGUUGUCCGGAUUCAUUGGGCGUAAAGAGCUCGUAGGCGGCUGUUCAAGUCGAACGUGAAAACUCGGAGCUCAACUCCGAGCCUGCGUUCGAUACUGGAUGGCUAGAGUCUGGUAGGGGGAUCUGGAAUUCCGGGUGUAGCGGUGGAAUGCGUAGAGAUCCGGAAGAACACCGGUGGCGAAGGCGGCCUGCUGGGCUAUGGCUGACACUGAGGCGCGACAGCGUGGGGAGCAAACAGG